rnacentral:rRNA from 1 species
GACGAACGCUGGCGGCGUGCCUAAUACAUGCAAGUCGAGCGAAGUUUUUCUGGUGCUUGCACUAGAAAAACUUAGCGGCGAACGGGUGAGUAACACGUAAAGAACCUGCCUCAUAGACUGGGACAACUAUUGGAAACGAUAGCUAAUACCGGAUAACAGUAUUUCUCGCAUGAGAGAUAUUUAAAAGUUGGUUAUGCUAACACUAUGAGAUGGCUUUGCGGUGCAUUAGCUAGUUGGUGGGGUAAAGGCCCACCAAGGCGACGAUGCAUAGCCGACCUGAGAGGGUGAUCGGCCACACUGGGACUGAGACACGGCCCAGACUCCUACGGGAGGCAGCAGUAGGGAAUCUUCCGCAAUGGGCGAAAGCCUGACGGAGCAACGCCGCGUGAGUGAAGAAGGAUUUCGGUUCGUAAAGCUCUGUUGUUAGGGAAGAAUGGAUAUGUAGUAACUAUACAUAUAAGAGACGGUACCUAACCAGAAAGCCACGGCUAACUACGUG